rnacentral:snRNA from 1 species
GUGCUCUGUUUGGCAGCUCAUAUACUAAAAUUGGAAUAAACAGAGAUUAGCAUGGUCCCUGUCCAAGGAUGACACUCAAAUUCGUGAAGCAUUCCAUAUUUUU